rnacentral:rRNA from 1 species
AUCAACGCUGGCGGCGCGCCUAACACAUGCAAGUCGAACGAGAACGGCUUCAGCAAUGGGCCUAGUACAGUGGCGAACGGGUGAGUAACACGUGGGUGACCAUACCUUCUAGUGGGGGAUAAUCCUGGGGAAACCUGGGCUAAUACCGCAUAACAUCCGCAAGGAUCAAAGGAGCAAUUCGCUGGAAGAAGGGCCCGCGGUCCGAUUAGCUUGUUGGCGGGGUAACGGCCCACCAAGGCUCUGAUCGGUAGCCGGUCUGAGAGGACGCAUCGGCCACACUGGAACUGAAACACGGUCCAGACUCCUACGGGAGGCAGCAGUGGGGAAUCUUUGCCACAAUGGGGGAAACCCUGAUGCCAGCCGACGCCGCGUGGGUGAUGAAGCUCUUCGGAGUGUAAAGCCCUUUCGGCAGGGAAGAGAUAAGACGGUACCUGCAAAAGAAGCCCCGGCUAACUACGUGCCAGCAGCCGCGGUAAUACGUAGGGUGGCCAGCGUUGUUCGGAAUUACUGGGCGUAAAGAGCGCGUAGGUGGUGCGGGUGUUGUUUGGUGUGAAAUCUCCCGGCUCAACGGGAGGGGCCAUCGAAACCUCCGCGCUUAGGGUACGGGAGAGGGGAGUGGAAUUCCCGGUGUAGCGGUGAAAUGCGUAGAGAUCGGGAGGAACACCAGUGACGAAGUGGCUCCCUGGACCGUUACCGACACUGAGGCGCGAAAGCUAGGGGAGCAAACAGGAUUAGAUACCCUGGUAGUCCUACGCCCUAAACGAUGUUCACUUGGUGUGCCGCGAGCACUUCGCGGUGUGCCGGAGCUAACGCGUUAAGUGAACCGCCUGGGGAGUACGGUUCGCAAGGCUGAAAUCAAGGAAUUGACGGGGGGCACCGCACAAGCCGGUUGGAGCAUGUGGUUCCAUUCGACGCAACGCGAAGAACCUUACCUGGGCUCGAACGGCUCCUUAACGAUCGUGGAAACACGGUUACCCCGCAAGGGGAUGGAGUCGAGGUGCUGCAUGGCUGUCGUCAGCUCGUGUCGUGAGAUGUUGGGUUAAGUCCCGCAACGAGCGCAAACCCUCGCCCUUAGUUGCCAUUCCGCACAGGAGGCACUCUAGGGGACUGCCACGGAUAACGUGGAGGGAAUGGGGAGGAUGACGUCAUAGUCCUCAUGGCCUUUAUGUCCAAGGCUACACACGUGCUACAAUGGUCGGUACAAUCCGUCGCCACCUCGCGAGAGGGAGCCAAUCGGAAAAAGCCGACCUCAGUUCGGAUUGCAGUCUGCAACUCGGCUGCAUGGAAGCUGGAAACGCUAGUAAUGGCAGAUCAGCAUGCUGCCAGUGAAUACGUUUCCCGGGCCUUGUACACACCGCCGUCACAUCACGAAAGUUGGCUGUACUAGAAGUCCCCAUCCUAACCGCAAGGAAGGUAGGGCCCAAGUUAUGGCUCAUGACUUGGGGUG